UGGUGGAGUUUUCCAGGUGCAGUGGCUCUGUCGACUUAUCUUCGUGGUUAGGAUUUUUUCUUCGGUCAAACUGUAGAAAACAGAACAAUGAACACAAUGGUAAAAAAAUUACAUGAAACAUGAAACGGAAAAGGGCUCAUUAGAGGAGGUUACAGGGUUUGCCCGCGACGACUCUGACAGACUUUGCCCAUAGUUUUCGGCUCACCCAUCGUUCGUUUUACUCUGAUAUGAUCAUAGGGGUGCUCAAAAUUGAAUUCCGAAUGGGUAGGAGAAUUUUUACCUUUUUUUGCGGUCGGAGGCGGCUCUAGUGCGGCAGCGGUUAGCGGUCGGCUUCCUUCUCUAGUGACUGGUCCUUUUUCUCCGAUGGGAGGUUGGCGGCUAGAGUUCGAGUUUAGUGUAAUGUGAAAUAUUUAUAUCUAUUUUGUGUUAAUCUGGACCGUUCAUCGCAUUUGAUCUCGGCCGUUCGAUCGUGCCUAAGGGAGAAAUGGAU
rnacentral:lncRNA from 1 species